UGUAGGCUGAAACUCGCCUACAUGAAGCUGGAGUUACUAGUAAUCGCAGAUCAGAAUGCUGCGGUGAAUACGUUCCCGGGUCUUGUACACACCGCCCGUCACACCACGGGAGUUGGAGACGCCCGAAGCCGAUUAUCUAACCUUUUGGAAGAAAUCGUCGAAGGUGGAAUCAAUAACUGGGGUGAAGUCGUAACAAGGUAGCCGUAUCGGAAGGUGCGGCUGGAUCACCUCCUUUCUAAGGAGA
rnacentral:rRNA from 1 species